rnacentral:rRNA from 1 species
GAUGAACGCUAGCUACAGGCUUAACACAUGCAAGUCGAGGGGCAGCGAGAGGAAAGCUUGCUUUCCUUGUCGGCGACCGGCGCACGGGUGAGUAACGCGUAUCCAACCUUCCCCAUAGUAGGGCAUAGCCCGUAGAAAUGCGGAUUAAUACCCUAUGUAUUCCGAGGAUGACAUCUGAUUCGGAACAAAGGUUCACCGCUAUGGGAUGGGGAUGCGUCUGAUUAGGUAGUCGGCGGGGUAACGGCCCACCGAGCCAUCGAUCAGUAGGGGUUCUGAGAGGAAGGUCCCCCACAUUGGAACUGAGACACGGUCCAAACUCC